UCGUAUAAUGGAGGUGCUGGGGCUGUCGCUAAACUUUGUGCACGCCCCAGUGCUCUCUUAUAAUCCAUCUCACCCCCUUUUGUGCAUCACCGCGUGGGUGCUUUCCUUUUCAAAAGGAAGCAUUUUGCGCUUUUAUACAGACUCAAUGCAUGUGUAGAAUGUCUUACUAUUUGCAAUAAUAUGCGAUUAAUA
rnacentral:misc_RNA from 1 species